UCCGUAGGUGGAUAAUUAAGUCAGAGGUGAAAUCCUGCAGCUCAACUGUAGAAUUGCCUUUGAUACUGGUUAUCUUGAGUUAUUAUGAAGUAGUUAGAAUAUGUAGUGUAGCGGUGAAAUGCAUAGAUAUUACAUAGAAUACCAAUUGCGAGGGCAGAUUACUAAUAACCAACUGACACUGAUGGACGAAAGCGUGGGGAGCGAACAGGAUUAGAUACCCUGGUAGUCC
rnacentral:rRNA from 1 species